GAUGAACGCUGGCGGCGUGCCUAAUACAUGCAAGUCGAGCGAACGGACGAGAAGCUUGCUUUUCUGAUGUUAGCGGCGGACGGGUGAGUAACACGUGGAUAACCUACCUAUAAGACUGGGAUAACUUCGGGAAACCGGAGCUAAUACCGGAUAAUAUUUUGAACCGCAUGGUUCAAAAGUGAAAGACGGUCUUGCUGUCACUUAUAGAUGGAUCCGCGCUGCAUUAGCUAGUUGGUAAGGUAACGGCUUACCAAGGCAACGAUGCAUAGCCGACCUGAGAGGGUGAUCGCCCACACUGGAACUGAGACACGGUCCAGACUACUAAGGGAGGCAGCAGUAGGGAAUCUUCCGCAAUGGGAGAAAGCCUGACAGAGCGACGGCGCGUGAGUGAUGAAGGUCUUCGGAUCGGAAAACUCUGUUAUGAGGGAAGAACAUAUGUGUAAGUAACUGUGCACAUCUUGACGGUACCUAAUCAGAAAGCCACGGCUAACUACGUG
rnacentral:rRNA from 1 species